rnacentral:rRNA from 1 species
UGCUUGACUCAAAGAUUAAGCCAUGCAUGUCUAAGUAUAAGCACUUAUACUGCGAAACUGCGGAUGGCUCAUUAUAUCAGUACCAAUCUAUUUGACGAGAAUUUCUACUUGGAUAACUGUAGGAAUCCUAGAGCUAAUACAUGCAAAGAGUGUGGACCGGUCUUUGGACUGGGAAGCACGUGUUUACUAGAUUCAGAACCAAUGUAGGGCAAUUCAAACUCUGUUCUCUGCCCCUUUUGGGGGGUGGUGGGCGGGGGCUCUACCCUCACGGUGAUUCAUAGUAACUCCGCACGAAUCGGGGACUCUGUUCUCGAUGGUGCAAACGAAGUUCUGCCCUAUCAACUUUCGAAGGUAGUGUAGGGGACUACCUUGGUUGUAACGGGUAACGGGGAAUUAGGGUUCGAUUCCGGAGAGGGAGCCUGAGAAACGGCUACCACUUCCAAGGAAGGCAGCAGGCGCGCAAAUUACCCAAUCCCGACAUGGGGAGGUAGUGACAAGAAAUAUUGAUAUAGGGCCCCAUACGGGUACUAUGUUCGAAAUGAGAACAAUUUAAAAUCCUUAUCGAGGAACAAUUGGAGGGCAAGUCUGGUGCCAGCAGCCGCGGUAAUUCCAGCUCCAAUAGUGUAUAUUAAAGUUGUUGCGGUUAAAAAGCUCGUAGUUGGACCUUGGGCUGGGAGGGUGCUCCUCCGGUCCAGAAGCCCGUGCGGCCGGCAGUUGGGUCAAACCCGCUGCAUGCGGCGGGUGGAGGACCGGGCGGGGGCGCCCUCUCUAACCGUUCACAAGCGUUCGUCACAUCAAGGUCUCUCGGGUGGCCGCGGGCCUGCCCGGUUGGUGCCCGGGGGAUCGUGUCGUUCACUUUACCUUGAAGAAAUUUGAGUGUUUAAAGCAGGCAAUAUUUGCAUCCGAAAACAUUAGCAUGGGAUAAUGAAAUAGGACUCAUCCUUACCUUCGUUGGUUCUUAAGGAGUGGGUAAUGAUUAAUAGGGACAGUCGGGGUCGGUGGUACUGAGUGGCUAGAGGUGAAAUUCUAUGACCCACUCAAGACCGACAACAGCGAAAGCAUUCGACAAGGAUGUUUUCAUUGAUCAAGAACGAAAGUUGAGGGAUCGAAGAUGAUNAGAUACCGUCGUAGUCUCAACCGUAAACGAUGUCGACUCGGGAUCGGAGGGCGUUACAUGGAUGACCCCUCCGGCACCGUGUGAGAAAUCAUAAGUAACCAGACUCCGGGGGGAGUAUGGUCGCAAGGCUGAAACUUAAAGGAAUUGACGGAAGGGCACCACCAGGAGUGGAGUCUGUGGCUUAAUUUGACUCAACACGGGGAAACUUACCAAGUCCGAACACGACGAGGAUUGACAGAUUAAUAGCUCUUUCUUGAUUUUGUGGAGAGUGGUGCAUGGCCGUUUUUAGUUGGUGGAGUGAUCUGUCUGGUUAAUUCCGUUAACGAACGAGACCUUAACCUGCUAAAUAGGGGUUCAAACGUAGGGGUCUCGGGGAGGGUUUCCGCAAGGGUUCCCGACCCGGCCCCAACAAAUGGUUUUGAUUCCCCUUCUUAGAGGGACCAUUCAAUCGAAUGAACGGAAGUUUAAGGCAAAAACAGGUCUGUGAUGCCCUCAGAUGUUUUGGGCUGCACACGCAUUACACUGUUAUGUGCAACGAGUCGCAAAAGACCCGAACCCUGACGGGUGGGGUAAGCUUUGAAUGCAUAACGUGAUGGGGAUUGUGUUUUGCAAUUAUCACACAUGAACGAGGAAUUCCUAGUAAGCGUAAGUCAUCAACUUACGUUGAUUACGUCCCUGCCCUUUGUACACACCGCCCGUCGCUCCUACCGAUUGAACGGCCCGAUGAGAACUCGGGAUGGAGGAGUGUGGAUGGCAGCCCACAAGGCUGUCGUCCACCUCAGCCAGAACCCGUUCAAAUCUUGUCGUUUAGAGGAAGGAGAAGUCGUAACAAGGCUUCCGUAGGUGAACCUGCAGAAGGAUCA